CCUCCAUCGGACUGACCCAGAACAAUGCUCAAAGAUAGGCUUUAUCUGUUGCAGGACAGAAUUGGGAUCAUCCCCCUGGAUGUAACCUUAGGUACUCUCCCUCAUCCACCUCCCUUGGGGUCAGGAUUCUGGAUGCACUCCCUGCUGGGAGGAUGAGGCAUCACAGAAGAGGAGGGGAGCUGGACACUCCUUCUGCCCUGGGCACUCCUAGGCCCAGUUAUCAGCAAUCCUCCCAAUGUCUUCCACCGGGACAUGGAGCAGCUGGCCCCAGAAGUGCUCAGGUAUCAGUUGGGUGGGGCAUGGGGACAUAGGGCAAGCCCCAGAACUCCUAGUGGGUCUGAUCCACCCUGGAAGACCAGGCAAUCUGGAGGAGGCAGAUGGGA